ACCAGUGUCCGGGUUCCCAUCACAAGGACACGUCCCAGCAAUCUAACUUCCUCCCAGUCUGUUCCACCUCUGAAAAGUCCCCCUGCCUCCCAGGAGCACCACAAGCCAGUGACCAAGGCUUUAACAUGUGCUUCAGGGUCCUGUUUUGGAGGAUUCUGAGGAUACUUCAGAUUCAGCAGGAAGCGUGUCCUGAUCGAUCAGCAGCGAUGCCCCUGCUCUGAGGAAUUUGAUCGCACAUGGGAAGUUUGUCAGAGAUUGAAAUGCACGCAUGUGUUUUGUAAGCAGAGAGCUCACCUAGGGAGAGGAAUGUUUCAGCUCAGCGAGUCAACCUCUUUCUGCUCCCAGUUACUCGUAGACUGGCCGAAUGAGAGCCCGUGGUUAGGAACUUGUGCAGCACGCAAGACCCAUCACCGUCA